GUCUGCUUUGAGCACAAAGGAGACGGAGAAUGGCUUGCCUUGUAUUGCUGUUCCAUCAUCCACAGAGGAGCUGUUUCUGUGAUUACAUGGAGCAACCCAGGGGCAUUGGAAACCACACAGAAAACUCAUGCAAGUGAUACUUACAGUACUUACAGUUUUCUCGAUCGGAGUCAGCAUUCAGAAAGUAAGUGUCUCAAGGUUAUACAGGUUCAUAGGAUCAUAGAUUUAGAGCUGACAGAGACCUCAGAGGCCAUCAAGUCACAAAUACUCAUUUUACUAAAAGAUGAGGAAACUGAGACUGAGAGACAGAUUGCCCAGCACACAGUGAGUAAAUAUUGGAUUUAGGAUUUGAACCCAAGUCAUUUGGCUCCAGAGUCAUACCUCUUUCCAUUCUUCCCUGUUUUCUCAUUGCUUCCAAAUCCAGUGCUCCUUUGUCUCCAUUUUUUUAAAUCAGCAAAAUAGUUGCUUUACCUUUUGGGCCUUUGUUCUAAACCUACUUCUUCCAAAUAUUGUUUCUGGCUAGAAUAAAAAAUAGUAUUAAGUUGUCUAAAUCUGUCUA
rnacentral:lncRNA from 1 species